rnacentral:SRP_RNA from 1 species
GCUGGGCAUAGUGGCGUGUGCCUGUAAUCCCAGCUACUUGGGAGGCUGAGGCAGGAGAAUCGCUUGAACCUGGGAGGCGGAGGUUGCAGUGAACUGAGACUGCGCCACUGUACUCCAGCCUGGGCAACAGAGCAAGACUCUGCCUCAA